rnacentral:rRNA from 1 species
UACGGAGGAUGCGAGCGUUAUCCGGAUUUAUUGGGUUUAAAGGGUGCGUAGGCGGGCAUUUAAGCCGGCGGUCAAAUGUCGGGGCUCAACCCCGGCCUGCCGUCGGAACUGGGUGCCUUGAGUGGGCGAGAAGUAUGCGGAAUGCGUGGUGUAGCGGUGAAAUGCAUAGAUAUCACGCAGAACCCCGAUUGCGAAGGCAGCUUUCCAAGCUAUUACUGACGCUGAGGCACGAAAGCGUGGGGAGCGAACAGG